rnacentral:rRNA from 1 species
CCCUUAGAUGUCCUGGGCUGCACGCGCGCUACACUGGAAGUUACGGAUUGAGAUACUACCUUGUCCGAAAUGGUCCGGGUAAUCACCUAAAAGCUUGUCAUAAUUGGAAUGGAUUAUUGUAACUAGUAAUCCUGAACGAGGAAUUCCUAGUAAGUCCCAGUCAACAGCUGGUACUGAUUACGUCCCUGCCCUUUGUACACACCGCCCGUCGCUACUACUGAUUGGACGUUUAAGCAAGAUUUUUAAACACUGACAGUGCGUAGUUCACGCUAUACUACAGUGAGAAGAAGAAGAUCGAGCUUACUUGUCUAGAGGAAGUAAAAGUCGUAACA